GAUGAACGCUGGCGGCGUGCCUAAUACAUGCAAGUAGAACGCUGAAGGAGGAGCUUGCUCUUCUGGAUGAGUUGCGAACGGGUGAGUAACGCGUAGGUAACCUGCCUGGUAGCGGGGGAUAACUAUUGGAAACGAUAGCUAAUACCGCAUGACAACAGUUAUUGCAUGAUAACUGUUUAAAAGGGGCAACUGCUCCACUACCAGAUGGACCUGCGUUGUAUUAGCUAGUUGGUGAGGUAACGGCUCACCAAGGCGACGAUACAUAGCCGACCUGAGAGGGUGAUCGGCCACACUGGGACUGAGACACGGCCCAGACUCCUACGGGAGGCAGCAGUAGGGAAUCGUCGGCAAUGGACGGAAGUCUGACCGAGCAACGCCGCGUGAGUGAAGAAGGGUUUCGGAUCGUAAAGCUCUGUUGUAAGAGAAGAACGAGUGUGAGAGUGGAAAGUUCACACUGUGACGGUAUCUUACCAGAAAGGGACGGCUAACUACGUG
rnacentral:rRNA from 1 species